rnacentral:rRNA from 1 species
UGAACGCUAGCGGCACGCUUCUACAUGCAAGUCGAGGGGCAGCAUAAAGUACUUGUACUUUGAUGGCGACCGGCGAACGGGUGCGUAACGCGUAUGCAACUUACCUUUUACUAGAGAAUAGCCAAGAGAAAUUUUGAUUAAUGCUCUAUACUCUUUUUAACUCACAUGAGUUUUUAAGAAAAGCUCCGGCGGUAAAAGAUGGGCAUGCGUCCUAUUAGCUUGUAGGUGAGGUAACGGCUCACCUAAGCUCCGAUAGGUAGGGGUCCUGAGAGGGAGAUCCCCCACACUGGUACUGAGACACGGACCAGACUUCUACGGAAGGCAGCAGUAAGGAAUAUUGGACAAUGGAGGAAACUCUGAUCCAGCGAUGCCGCGUGAAGGAAGACGGCCCUAUGGGUUGUAAACUUCUUUUAUACAGGAAGAAACCUUUCCACGUGUGGAAAGCUGACGGUACUGUAAGAAUAAGGAUCGG